AGACCCCGUGCACCUUUACUGCAGCUUCAGAGUGGCAUUAGGAAAGAACUGUGUAGCAUAGGUGGGAGGCUUUGAAGCAUUGGCGCCAGCCGGUGUGGAGCCAUAGGUGAAAUACCACCCUGUUGUUUUCUGAUGUCUAACCUGCACCCGUGAAACCGGGUGAGGGACCCUCUGUGGCGGGUAGUUUGACUGGGGCGGUCGCCUCCUAAAGAGUAACGGAGGCGCGCGAAGGUUGGCUCAGGACGGUUGGAAACCGUCUGUUAGAGUGCAAUGGCAUAAGCCAGCCUGACUGCGAGACUGACAAGUCGAGCAGAGACGAAAGUCGGUCAUAGUGAUC
rnacentral:rRNA from 1 species